AUACGUAGGGUGCGAGCGUUGUCCGGAAUUACUGGGCGUAAAGAGCUCGUAGGUGGUUUGUCGCGUCGUCUGUGAAAUUCCGGGGCUUAACUCCGGGCGUGCAGGCGAUACGGGCAUAACUUGAGUACUGUAGGGGAGACUGGAAUUCCUGGUGUAGCGGUGAAAUGCGCAGAUAUCAGGAGGAACACCGGUGGCGAAGGCGGGUCUCUGGGCAGUAACUGACGCUGAGGGGCGAAAGCAUGGGUAGCGAACAGGAUUAGAUGCCCUGGUAGUCCAUGCCGUAAACGGUGGGCGCUAGGUGUAGGGGUCUUCCACGACUUCUGUGCCGUAGCUAACGCAUUAAGCGCCCCGCCUGGGGAGUACGGCCGCAAGGCUAAAACUCAAAUGAAUUGACGGGG
rnacentral:rRNA from 1 species